AAGACUGUACUUUAAGGGAUCAUUUCUAUAGUUUAUUAUUAGAGAAGUUUCUCUGAAUGUGUAGCGUACCAAAACCCACGAGGUGGUACAGCGUUCUCUCCUGAACAUGAAGCCGGCUCUUGGUAUUGCUUUGCUGCAACUGCCAUUUGCCAUUGAUCAUUCUCCUCCUUUGGGAGGGAAAGAGGGAAAGAUCACAGUCUGAGUUGC